rnacentral:rRNA from 1 species
GUACUGUGCGAACGUUAUUCGGAAUCACUGGGCUUAAAGGGUGCGUAGGCGGCCAUUUAAGUAGGGUGUGAAAUCCCUCGGCUCAACCGAGGAACUGCGCUCUAAACUGGAUGGCUUGAGUGUGAUAGAGGUGUGUGGAACUUCCAGUGGAGCGGUGAAAUGUGUUGAUAUUGGAAGGAACGCCGGUGGCGAAAGCGGCACACUGGGUCUCAACUGACGCUGAGGCACGAAAGCCAGGGUAGCGAACGGGGGAUUAGAUACCCCGGUAGUCCUGGCUGUAAACGAUGAGCACUAGACGGGAGGGGCUUCGGCUCAUCCGGUCGCAGCGAAAGCAUUAAGUGCUCCGCCUGGGAGUAUGGUCGCAAGGCUG